UACGGAGGGUGCGAGCGUUGUCCGGAAUCACUGGGCGUAAAGGGCGCGUAGGUGGCGCGGGUAGUCAUCAGUGAAAGCUCAGGGCUCAACCCUGAGUCGGCCGGUGAUACUCCCGUGCUUGAGUGUGGUAGAGGCCAAUGGAAUUCCGGGUGUAGCGGUGGAAUGCGUAGAGAUCCGGAAGAACACCGGUGGCGAAGGCGGUUGGCUGGGCCACAACUGACACUGAUGCGCGACAGCGUGGGGGAGCAAACAGGG
rnacentral:rRNA from 1 species